CUACGGGGGGCACCAGUGAGGAAUAUUGGUCAAUGGGCGCGAGCCUGAACCAGCCAUCCCGCGUGCAGGAUGACGGCCCUAUGGGUUGUAAACUGCUUUUCUAUGCCAAGAAACCUGAUUACGUGUAAUCAGUUGCCGGUAGCAUAGGAAUAAGCAUCGGCUAACUCCGUGCCAGCAGCCGCGGUAAUACGGAGGAUGCAAGCGUUAUCCAGAUUCAUUGGGUUUAAAGGGUGCGCAGGUGGGCUUGUAAGUCAGUGGUGAAAUGCUGCCGCUUAGCGGUAGAACUGCCAUUGAUACUGCGAGUCUUGAGUAUGGUUGAGGUAGGCGGAAUAUGUUGUGUAGCGGUGAAAUGCAUAGAUAUGACACAGAACGCCAAUUGCGAAGGCAGCUUACUAAGCCAUUACUGACGCUGAGGCACGAAAGCGUGGGGAGCGAACAGGAUUAGAUACCCGCGUAGUC
rnacentral:rRNA from 1 species